CUGAAAGGAAGAUUAAUACAAGAUGGCAUCAUGAGUCCGCAUGUUCACAUGAUUAAAGGUAUUCCGGUAGACGAUGGGGAUGCGUUCCAUUAGAUAGUAGGCGGGGUAACGGCCCACCUAGUCUUCGAUGGAUAGGGGUUCUGAGAGGAAGGUCCCCCACAUUGGAACUGAGACACGGUCCAAACUCCUACGGGAGGCAGCAGUGAGGAAUAUUGGUCAACGGGCGAGAGCCUGAACCAGCCAAGUAGCGUGAAGGAUGACUGCCCUAUGGGUUGUAAACUUCUUUUAUAAAGGAAUAAAGUCGGGUAUGGAUACCCGUUUGCAUGUACUUUAUGAAUAAGGAUCGGCUAACUCCGUGCCAGCAGCCGCGGUAAUACGGAGGAUCCGAGCGUUAUCCGGAUUUAUUGGGUUUAAAGGGAGCGUAGAUGGAUGUUUAAGUCAGUUGUGAAAGUUUGCGGCUCAACCGUAAAAUUGCAGUUGAUACUGGAUAUCUUGAGUGCAGUUGAGGCAGGCGGAAUUCGUGGUGUAGCGGUGAAAUGCUUAGAUAUCACGAAGAACUCCGAUUGCGAAGGCAGCCUGCUAAGCUGCAACUGACAUUGAGGCUCGAAAGUGUGGGUAUCAAAC
rnacentral:rRNA from 1 species